GUGCCAGCCGCUGCGGUAAUACGUAGGUGGCAAGCGUUAUCCGGAUUUAUUGGGCGUAAAGCGAGCGCAGGCGGUUUUUUAAGUCUGAUGUGAAAGCCUUCGGCUUAACCGAAGAAGUGCAUCGGAAACUGGGAAACUUGAGUGCAGAAGAGGACAGUGGAACUCCAUGUGUAGCGGUGAAAUGCGUAGAUAUAUGGAAAGAACACCAGUGGCGAAGGCGGCUGUCUGGUCUGUAACUGACGCUGAGCUCGAAAGCAUGGGUAGCGAACAGGAUUAGACUACCCUGGUAGUCCAUGUCGUAAACGAUGAAU
rnacentral:rRNA from 1 species